UCCACUCUCACCGCUAGCUAUAGCCACCUCCACCCUCACCGCUAGCUAUAGCCGCCUCCACCCUCAGCUGUACUGCACUAAAGGCAAGCAGACAGGACAGACCACAGCAGACCCAGCCAGGGCCUAACAUGUUCAGCAGCUUUAGGACAUUGAUACAUUAGAAAGAGGGAGAAGGACUGGACUUGUGCCUUGUCUAUUGGCCAAAUGACAAUAGCUUACAGGUACUGUUCUGUGCUGAUAGGGUUAGCAUCAGAGCUUGAUAAUAAAAGUGACAAUUAAGUGUUGUGGGUAGGGGGGAUACAGCUUUAAGAAUAAGAAGUCAAAAAUGCGACAGGACUGCAUACGAGCAGUGUAUCGGGUAAUAUAAAUUACAUCGAAAGCGUUUUGUUCGUUCGUUUGACAUAAAGCACUUGUAGUUCACUCAUCCACACAUUCUCUGUCUGUGGAAUCCUCCAGCGUCGGUUUGGGGGGUCAUUUCACCCACUGAAGGGGGUGCGUACGAUUUCAUGCGUCAGACUUUCUAGCGCCGCCCUUCUGGCACGCGUACUACUCUCAGCCGCAGGGCUCUACUCGCCUCUGGUACGUCACCGCAGGGCUCUACUCCCCUUUGGACGUCACCGCAACACAAGACAUGGAGGUGAGGAGUGAACCACUAUUUAAUGCCCUAGUUACCGUAGAGGCCGCCUCCCUAGUGCCCUAGUUACAGUAGAGGCCGACUCCCUAGUGCCCUAGUUACCGUAGAGGCAGACUCCCUAGUUACAGUAGAGGCCGACUCCCUAGUGCCCUAGUUACAGUAGAGGCAGACUCCCUAGUGCCCUAGUCACCGUAGAGGCUGACUCCCUAGUGCCCUAGUUUCAGAAGAGGCAGACUCCCUAGUUACAGAAGAGGCUGACUCCCUAGUGCCCUAGUUACAGAAUAGGCUGACUCCCUAGUGCCCUAGUUACAGAAGAGGCUGACUCCCUAGUGCCCUAGUUACAGAAGAGGCAGACUCCCUAGUGCCCUAGUUACAGUAGAGGCCGACUCCCUAGUGCCCUAGUUACAGAAGAGGCUGACUCCCUAGUUAUAGAAGAGGCAGACUCCCUAGUGCCCUAGUUACAGUAGAGGCAGACUCCCUAGUUACAGAAGAGGCAGACUCCCUAGUGCCCUAGUUACCGUAGAGGCAGACUCCCUAGUGCCCUAGUUACAGAAGAGGCAGACUCUCUAGUGCCCUAGUUACCGUAGAGGCAGACUCCCUAGUGCUCUAACAAGGCUGCUAACUUUAAGAAAUCAGAAGUAAAUCACUUUCCCUCAAUCAAAGCAUACAUUCAUGAUCGGUUAGAGUUAGAUAAAAUCAACACACACACACACACACACACACACACACACACAUACAUACAUUAUACAUACAUACAGACGUAGCUAGCAGAGCAACAGUUAGUGGGUUAGCGACUCAAUAACCCCUUAUUCCAGGUUAUAUUGUGAGUUGACCCCACCAACGUAUCAAUUGUCACAUAAUGAGAUUAAUUGAUGGUAAAGUGAAAGUGUAAAACACUGUUAUGGUGAUCUAAAGUCAUGUGCAUGGGCAAACGCAGUUCAGCUGUUCUUGGACAGGAAAGCAAAUUAACAAUAGCACUUGCACUUUUAAACGGUUGCUCAGCAAAGAGGUUGAUUUUUUUUUUCUGAAACAUCAACAUUUUGUCACUGGCAAACAUAAUUGUUUUUAUCGUCUCUAUGAUAGCAACUGUACAUUUCUAAGUUUAUUCAUCCAGUACAACACAAGUUUGAUUUAUAUUUGAUUAUCUCUAUGAAACAGUGGACGAAUCCUUCCUAUGAUUCAGUAGUACAUUUUACACUGGAAAUGAUCAAUCAGUAUUAGCACAUCUAGCUAGUCACGGCUACACAGAGUCCUCUCAGAAGUAAAUGUGGAACACGGAUAGGUUCAGUCUACCCUGCUCAGUUCUACAUGGCUCUCCCUCACGUCACAUCACGGCUUGUUGUCGCGGUGACGCAGUGUGCCGCGGCACCCUUAAGACACCAUCAGCAGAGGUGUGUGUGGUGGAGGCACUGAGCGUUCGAUCUGGCAGAGAAAAACAGUCAUUGUUGAUGAAGCACCAGUUUGAAUUGCAAUAGUUGAAGAGAGAAUUAUUGAGCAUUACUUUUGAGGUGACCCUGGAAGCUUUCAUUGGCAUGAAAAGAAAAGAAAAGAAAAAAAGUCUACACACAAAUAUUCCUGACAAAAAUAGGAUUUAUGCUAUUCACAUUUCAGCUUUAGAUUUAACAUUUUAACAUCCCUCAGAAACAUCCCUCAGAGCAGAAGAGAAACCACUGGCUGCUGUUCAGGACGUGGCCUGAGAUGAUGAUUUAACAUCCCUCAGAAACAUCAUUCAGAGCAGGUUGCUGUUCAGGACGUGGCCUGAGAUGAUGAUUUAACAUCCCUCAGAAACAUCUCAGAAACAGAAGCGAAACCACUGGCUGCUGUUCAGGACGUGGCCUGAGAUGAUGCCCAGAAAACAAACUAAGAAAAGGCAGUAACUCCACUUUACAGACAAAGUGGAAGAAGGCCAACAAGGCAGGUAGAAUGCCUUAGUUCACCUAAUGCCAGACUAGAUAAGUUGCAUUCUGUGUCCAGGACCCCUAGUGUAUGUGUGUGUGUGUGUGUGUGUGUGUGUGUGUGUGUGUUUGUGUGUGUGUGUGUUCUGUGUCCAGGACCCCUGGUGUGUUUGGGUUCAGUAGCACACGAAGGAAAGGAGAGAGAGAGUAGAGUGGAGUAUAGGGGACGGCCUGUUCUCUAGACUGAGCUCUGUGUGUGUGUGUGUGUGUGUGGUGUAUAGGGGACGGCCUGUUCUUUAGACUAGGCUCUGUGUGUGUGUGUGUGUGGAGUAUAGGGGACGGCCUGUUCUUUAGACUAAGCUAUGUGUGUGUGUGUGUGUGUGUGUGUGUGUGUGUGUGUGUGUGUGUGUGUGUGUGUGUGUGGAGUAUAGGGGACGGCCCGUUCUCUAGACUGAUGCUGUGGCUGGACGCCUCUCUGAGGGCAGCUACCAAGAUGGCGACUAACUGUGGCUGGGACUCGGCCUACACCUGGCCCAAUCAGCCGUUACCUGGGCAGUCUCUGGACCAAUCAGCCGUUACCUGGGCAGUCUCUUGACCAAUCAGCCGUUACCUGGGCAGUCACGAGAAGAAGCGAGAGAAGUGUGUGUGUCGUUCUCGGCAGGCCUGUGGCCCUCACGUUCUCACACUGGACAGAACACUGUGCUUUCCUAAGGGGAACCGCACUGAGGUCCCAUCAUUACUGUGUCUUUUGAACCAAAUGGAUUUGGAUAGAAUCAUACUACUCUGAAGGCAAUGACGUAAAAUCUAUAUAAAAAUCGAAAUAAAAUAUACCAAAGCAAAAUAGUGUCGUUGCUUAAACAUAUGUGCCUAAUUUGUCAAUAUUUUGAGGUAUAUUUUGUAGAAAGAAAGAACCCUGUGUUAGAUCUCUUUUUUCGGGACGCAGUCUAAACGUUUUAAAGAUGCCCUGGCCUUUCCGGAACUCUGUGUUCCCAAGGUGUCUUUCAGCCUUUAAACCCAUUGCAGUGCCCACUAUGUCCAGUUGGGGGCACCAUACACCUCUCUAUUGAUAUAUCGCACUGCCAGCACACAGCCCAAAAGAAGCCUUUAUUUGGCCUAUAAAAGACAGUACAGAUUUGGCAGGAGUUGUUAUAUGCACCAAAAGUAGUUCUACUGAGUAAAAAAAGUAAUUUGUUUAAGUGCAUUUGAAACAGUGAGUGAGAGUUAUGCUGCUGGAAACCCCUCUAAAUCCGGAAGAGCUUAGGCCAGAUGUCGGUGGCGUACGGACCUUUUAGACUCGAGAGAUUACUGAGCCCUCACCAGCGGUGCCCCUCACCAACGGUGCCCCGCACGGCAGCCGAGUCCUGUCUGGACCUGGCACAGGGCGGCUGCCGGCCCGGUGUGUGAGGCGCCAUGCCAGUGUGAGCUUUGUGGUUUACGGUGACGUGUGUGUCACACUGUCAGGGAUGCGGAACGGAACACAGAGAGGCAGAAACGUCACCAAUCGAGGGUCUGGGUUCAAAGGGCAUUCUUACACUUCCACAGAGUGACAAACAUUUGUGAUUUUACUUCCCAAUUAGUUGUUGCUCAGGUUUCUGGGCCUCACUGUGCAUUGUUGGACUAUCUACUUAAAUUUGGACUCGAGUCAAACAGCAUCAUAGCCUUUGGCCCCCAGCCCUGCGGAAAAGGCCCUUUGGCCCCCAGCCCUGCGGAUAAGCCCCUGGCCCUAUUCAAGACUGCAGAGUAGAACUUGCCUAAUCCCCUCCCUUUGGUGACCAAUAACACAUCACACACACACACCAAAAUUCACUCACCAAACACACACACACACACGCGCGGGGGUAACACACCAUCUGCCACGGGUUAUCACCCUCUUACAGGUUAUUACUUUCCUAAAGCUUUCAGUCUCUCUCCCCUCCACACACACACACACACACACACACACACACAGAUCUUACAGACUGUCCAUCCCAACUCCAUCCUAAAACUCUGAUCAGAUGUAACCCUGGCAACCAUCAGAGGGCGUUUGCAUCACUCUAGCGUGUGUGAGUCUGGGUCGGGUCGGGGCUGGUGCUGGCGCUGGCGCUGGUCGGGCUCAGAGCAGGGCUCCGUAGUCGGGCCGGUGGAGGUCCAUGCUGGCCAACAGGGCCUUGCGCUCCUCGGGGGGCGGUUGAGGCUGGGGCAGGGGCAGGGGCAGAGACAGGGGCAGCAGGGAUGCGAGCUGCCGGUAUGGGGCCUUCCUCCGCUCCCACAGUGCCAGCGGACUCCUCUUCCUCCUCUUCUUCUUCGGGUGAACGCUGGGGUCCUCGGGGGCCUCGGAGGCAUGAGACACACUCGGCUGCUGGGUCUGAGAGCUACGCACAUCUGAAACAAACACACACAUACACACACACACAUACACACACACACACACACGAACAUACACAUAUGUACACACAUACAUAUGCAUGUUCACUCACACACACAUACACACACACACACACACAGAAAUGACACAUUAACCAUCAAUCUGAAACAAUCUGAGCAUUCACCAGAGUAAUUGUAUUGUAUUGACAUAUCAUAGCAUUGAGCUCAUUCAUACAGUAUGUCCACUAUAGCGCUUAGAUAAAUGCAGCUCCUCAAUCCUGUUUUAACCAGGAUCUCACUCUCACAGAGAACUUAUCCAGAGAGUUCUCAGUCUAUAGCAGAACUUAUCCAGAGAGUUCUCAGUCUUAAACAGAACUAAUGCAGAGAGUUCUCAGU
ensembl:lncRNA